rnacentral:rRNA from 1 species
GACGAACGCCGGCGGCGCGCCUAACACAUGCAAGUCGAACGGAGUUGUUAUGACAGAUUCUUCGGAUGAUGGAAUGACAACUUAGUGGCGAACGGGUGAGUAACGCGUGAGCAAUCUGCCUUAAAGAGGGGGACAACAGUUGGAAACGACUGCUAAUACCGCAUAAGCCCACACUACCGCAUGGUAGAGUGAGAAAAGAUUUUAUCGCUUUAAGAUGAGCUCGCGUCUGAUUAGCUAGUUGGUGGGGUAACGGCCUACCAAGGCAACGAUCAGUAGCCGGACUGAGAGGUUGAUCGGCCACAUUGGGACUGAGACACGGCCCAGACUCCUACGGGAGGCAGCAGUGGGGAAUAUUGCACAAUGGAGGGAACUCUGAUGCAGCGACGCCGCGUGAGGGAAGAAGGUAUUCGUAUUGUAAACCUCUGUCUUCGGGGACGAUAAUGACGGUACCCGAGGAGGAAGCACCGGCUAACUACGUGCCAGCAGCCGCAGUAAUAC